rnacentral:rRNA from 1 species
UACGUAGGGGGCAAGCGUUGUCCGGAAUCAUUGGGCGUAAAGAGCGUGUGGGCGGUCUGGUAAGUCCGUUGUGAAAGUCCAAGGCUCAACCUUGGAAUGCCGAUGGAUACUGCCAGGCUCGAGUCCGGAAGAGGCGAGUGGAAUUCCUGGUGUAGCGGUGAAAUGCGCAGAUAUCAGGAGGAACACCAGUGGCGAAGGCAGCUCGCUGGGACGGUACUGACGCUGAGACGCGAAAGCGUGGGGAGCAAACAGG